UACGAAGGGGCUAGCGUUGCUCGGAAUCACUGGCGUAAGCGCACGUAGGCGGAUCGUUAAGUCAGGGUGAAAUCCUGGAGCUCAACUCCAGAACUGCCUUGAUACUGGCGACCUUGAGUUCGGGAGAGGUGAGUGGAACUGCGAGUGUAGAGGUGAAAUUCGUAGAUAUUCGCAAGAACACCAGUGGCGAAGGCGGCUCACUGGCCCGAUACUGACGCUGAGGUGCGAAAGCGUGGGAGCAACAGG
rnacentral:rRNA from 1 species